GAUGAACGCUAGCGGCAGGCUUAACACAUGCAAGUCGAGGGGUAACAGAGGUAGCUUGCUACUUGCUGACGACCGGCGCACGGGUGCGUAACGCGUAUACAAUCUGCCUUAUACAGAGGGAUAGCCUUUAGAAAUGAAGAUUAAUACCUCAUGGUCUAUUAAUAUAGCAUUAUAUAAAUAGUAAAGCUUCGGCGGUAUAAGAUGAGUAUGCGUCCUAUUAGUUAGUUGGUAAGGUAACGGCUUACCAAGACUACGAUAGGUAGGGGCCCUGAGAGGGGGAUCCCCCACACUGGUACUGAGACACGGACCAGACUCCUACGGGAGGCAGCAGUGAGGAAUAUUGGACAAUGGAGGAAACUCUGAUCCAGCCAUGCCGCGUGCAGGAAGACGGCCCUAUGGGUUGUAAACUGCUUUUAUAUAGGAAGAAACCUUUUCACGUGUGAGAAGCUGACGGUACUAUAAGAAUAAGGACCGGCUAACUCCGUGCCAGCAGCCGCGGUAAUACGGAGGGUCCGAGCGUUAUCCGGAAUCAUUGGGUUUAAAGGGUCCGUAGGCGGGAAUCUAAGUCAGUGGUGAAAUCUUACAGCUCAACUGUAAAAUUGCCAUUGAUACUGGGUUUCUUGAAUUAGUGUGAAGUGAUUAGAAUGUGUAGUGUAGCGGUGAAAUGCAUAGAUAUUACACAGAAU
rnacentral:rRNA from 1 species